rnacentral:rRNA from 1 species
AUUGAACGCUGGCGGCAUGCCUUACACAUGCAAGUCGAACGGCAGCGGACCUUCGGGUGCCGGCGAGUGGCGAACGGGUGAGUAAUGCAUCGGAACGUACCUUUCAGUGGGGGAUAACGUAGCGAAAGUUACGCUAAUACCGCAUAUUCUGUGAGCAGGAAAGCAGGGGAUCGCAAGACCUUGCGCUGAUUGAGCGGCCGAUGUCAGAUUAGCUAGUUGGUGAGGUAAAGGCUCACCAAGGCGACGAUCUGUAGCGGGUCUGAGAGGAUGAUCCGCCACACUGGGACUGAGACACGGCCCAGACUCCUACGGGAGGCAGCAGUGGGGAAUUUUGGACAAUGGGGGCAACCCUGAUCCAGCCAUGCCGCGUGAGUGAAGAAGGCCUUCGGGUUGUAAAGCUCUUUCGGCCGGGAAGAAAUCGCACAGGCUAAUACCUUGUGUGGAUGACGGUACCGGAAUAAGAAGCACCGGCUAACUACGUGCCAGCAGCCGCGGUAAUAC